UACGUAGGGGGCGAGCGUUGUCCGGAUUUACUGGGCGUAAAGCGCGUGUAGGCGGGCGGUUAAGUUGGGUGUGAAAGCCCGGGGCUCAACCCCGGGAUGCCGCCCAAGACUGGUCUCCUUGAGGACGGAAGAGGGGAGUGGAAUUCCUGGUGUAGCGGUGAAAUGCGUAGAGAUCAGGAGGAACACCCGUGGCGAAGGCGGCUCCCUGGUCCGUUUCUGACGCUGAGACGCGAAAGCGCGGGGAGCGAACGGG
rnacentral:rRNA from 1 species